rnacentral:rRNA from 1 species
CCUACGGGAGUCAGCAGUGAGGAAUAUUGGUCAAUGGCCGGAAGGCUGAACCAGCCAUGCCGCGUGAAGGUCAGUGCCCUAUGGGCGUUAAACUUCUUUUGUGCGGGAGCAAUAAUGGUCACGUGUGGCCAGACGAGAGUACCGUACGAAUAAGCAUCGGCUAACUCCGUGCCAGCAGCCGCGGUAAUACGGGGGAUGCAAGCGUUAUCCGGAUUUAUUGGGUUUAAAGGGUGCGUAGGCUGUGAGGUAAGUCAGCGGUGAAAUGCCCCCGCUCAACGGGGUGAAGUGCCAUUGAUACUGUCUGGCUGGAAUGCGGAUGCCGUGGGAGGAAUGUGUGGUGUAGCGGUGAAAUGCAUAGAUAUCACACAGAACACCGAUUGCGAAGGCAUCUCACGAAUCCGCGAUUGACGCUGAUGCACGAAAGCGUGGGUAUCAAACAGGAUUAGAUACCCCUGUAGUC